CCGGCGCCCCGCGCGGGGGCAGCGCGGGCUCAGCGGCGGGGGCGGCCGAGCCGGCCGUCCUGGUUGGGCGGCAUAGCUGGGCGGCUGACUCAGUGCGCAGCCCUGGCCGCGCCUGGCCCGCCGCGCACCUGGCGCACCUCGGCUCCGGGCUCCCGACCCGCGGGGCCGGGGAGGCUGCGAGGGCGCGUCCCGGGGUGGAGAUCGCCGGGGAGGAGGAUGCCCGGGACCGCUCCCCGCUCCUGCCAGCCGGUGGCCUCAGCGUUUCCCGAACUUGACACUCACCUAAGGCGCUCACUUUCCCAGGCUGCUCCCAGUCAAGGUGCAUUCCGUGGGCCCGGAUCUGUUCACCACGCCCCGUGCCAACGCGUAAACCGGGCCCAUUACAUAGGAUUGUCCUGCAAGUCAGCCCUGCAGGGAAGGGGUGAUGAUCCCCAUUUUCUGAUGCAGUGUCCUGAUCUUUGCCUGGUACCUGUUGAUGGAAGUGGAGCCAUUAGGGGAAGCGGUGAACUUAUUAUGAAAAUGAGAUAAUUGGUGAGAUCCAGCGUGUGGAAGGCUUCCCAGGAGCCCAGGCCCUGUGGAGGCUCAUCUUCAUCAAAAUUCCUGCUCCCCAGGCUCUGAAAGGGCUGACACCAAGCAAGGGGGGAGAGGCGGGGCUGUGUUUACUAGUACUUCAGAGCAAAUUCUAGUUCCACCAGGGAAGUUUUCCUGACAUUUUCUAAACCUCAGGAAUUCUCUUUUCUUUGGAUUCCUGUAGAAUUUUAUUUAUUUGCUCUUUCCUGGCUUCAUUUUAAGCCCAUAUUCAUUUUAAGUCCAUACCCUUGUUUUUGUUUUUGUUUUUUUUGUUGUUUUUUUUUUGUUUGUUUGUUUUGGGUCUUUUCUUCUCUCCCUCUCAGAGUUCUCACAUACUCUUUCAUUUAUUCUUAUCUGUGUGAGCCAUCUUACAUCCAUUUUUGAAUACGGUGGGUUAUAAAUAAACAAAAACUCUUACAUCAGUUAUAUAUCUCAGAAUAUCAAGCAUUGUGUGAUCAAGUUACUUCUCUUAGUAAAUUUUGUAGACUAAUUUGGACUUUGUGCCUCUUUGUAACAAUAUCUUAGUUCCUUGGUUAUCAUUCAGUCAUUU